CCUACGGGAGGCAGCAGUGAGGAAUAUUGGUCAAUGGGCGCUAGCCUGAACCAGCCAAGUAGCGUGAAGGAUGACUGCCCUAUGGGUUGUAAACUUCUUUUAUAUGGGAAUAAAGUGCAGUAUGUAUACUGCUUUGCAUGUACCUUAUGAAUAAGGAUCGGCUAACUCCGUGCCAGCAGCCGCGGUAAUACGGAGGAUCCGAGCGUUAUCCGGAUUUAUUGGGUUUAAAGGGAGCGUAGGCGGGUGGUUAAGUCAGUUGUGAAAGUUUGCGGCUCAACCGUAAAAUUGCAGUUGAUACUGGCAGCCUUGAGUACAGUAGAGGUAGGCGGAAUGCGUGGUGUAGCGGUGAAAUGCUUAGAUAUCACGAAGAACUCCGAUUGCGAAGGCAGCCUGCUGGACUGUAACUGACGCUGAUGCUCGAAAGUGUGGGUAUCAAACAGGAUUAGAUACCCCUGUAGUC
rnacentral:rRNA from 1 species